UCCAUAAGUAGAGUCAUGUAAUGAAGUGGAAUAACACAGGGGAAAAGUAUUAAACAUGCUAAGAAAAAGCCCUAAGGCAAGGAAAGGGAAGGAAUCUACUGGAAUCUGUAAGA